UCCCCUGGUGCAGCUUGAAGCUGUGUCCUCUCACCCUGUUGCUGGUUGCCUGGGAGAAGAGACCAACCCACACCUUGCUAAAUAUCCUUUUAGGUGGUUGUAAAGAGUGAUGAGGACUCCCUUGAUCCUCCUCCAGGCUAAAUAACCCCAGUUCCCUCAGCUGCUCCUCAUAUGAAUUACUCUCUAGAUCCUAAAAAGAAAUAAAUGGAAUCCAUUCCCAUUCUUCACAGGACUGACCCCUUCUCCCUCUUAGAAAAAUGGUGGAGCUGGUAACCCAGAGCUUGCUUGGGAUGUGGCUACCUGUUAAAGGCCUUCCUUUAAAUCAGGAGCUGAUUUCAGAUCUGCCUCCUAUGGAAAUGUGCCAGCCACAAAACUCCUGAAUAUGCUGCAAUGAGCCUCUCAGUCUCUUCUGCAACAGCCCCACACACUGCAACAGGCAUGUGAACACAAAUCUGCCUCUUCCAAGCUAUGAGACUUUGCCACAGGUUGUGCCUGUUGGAUGUGCUUGGAGUGUGCUUCCCAUCCUGUCACUUACCCACAAUGUUCAACUCCACUCUGAACUCCAGGACCUCCUUUGGGUGUUCUUAUACAAGAGCUACAGCUUCUGUAUAUCAAGGACAUCUUGAAUAUCUAAAAGCAUAACCCUAAGGCAUCCAAAAGGACAGAGAAAAUGUGACUUCUGAUGCAAGAGGUAGAAUGAGGAAUACUCAGUACCUCUCUGCACUUGUUUCAUACAGGAGAUCCCAUAAAGAAGGUGAUGCCAUGUGACAGUGUCACUACACUGAACCUCCUUUUUGCCUGAAAAACUAAUUUUGUUAGAAAUUUAAUUGGAAAGUGAAUUUAUGACUUUGGUAUCUUAAUUUCCUUGCAUUAAUUGGAAACUUAUACAGAAUUUUUUGUGUUGAUGUAUUUGGGGUCUUUAUUGCAGAUGCUCUGUGCUUAUCUUGCAUGAGGAGUGGGCAAUUUCUCUCUACUGUUUCUGAAUUCCUCUAGUGAAAAUACAUAGAAAUUUUGAUGGUACUUGCUAGACCUCUAAUAAAUUCCAUAAAAAUCAGCUGUUUAGUUUUAUAUAAUGAGUUUUUUGCUGAGUUUUUAGGUUCUAUAGUUUUUCAGAAAACUCGCAAAGGACCUGUCCUCCCAAAAAACCCCAACCCCCCUUUUAUUAAUUUAUUAUCCAUGAGUAAAUGGCUUCUGAUUUCAGUGUCCUGAGGGAACAAACUAGCAGGCUCAAGAGAAGUGGCACAGUGAACUUGCAUCUAGAUGUGAUCAGUGAUUUUCUCUUGUAGCUGAUGACCCUCUCUUGUAGCUGAUGACCCUUUCUUUUUCCCUCUAUGAAAAGACUAAAUCAGAAGAGUGUAACAGGGAAUUCAGAGGCUAUUUGCAAUACUUCUUUCCACCUUUUUCUUCUUCUUGUUCGUGACUUCUGCCUCCUAAAUAGGUUUUCAAAGGUGUCCUCAGCUGUUUGUCCUCUGAAUCAUGCAGGCACCAGGGGAAAAAUGCAAGAAUCUGUUACAUACUUUAAGGGUGGUGUGGGAAAAGGUUGCAACUUUUUAAAUGGUUGCUGUUUCAGAGCAGUAUGGGAAAUAUAAUUUAAAAUAUCUUAGGCAUUUUAUAGAUUCAUAAAACAUCUUGUAAGCUAUACCUAAA